UUCGUUCAUCUCCCAGCCUACA
rnacentral:miRNA from 1 species